rnacentral:rRNA from 1 species
GAUGAACGCUGGCGGCGUGCUUAACACAUGCAAGUCGAACGGAAAGGCCGAAGCUUGCUUCGGUACUCGAGUGGCGAACGGGUGAGUAACACGUGGGUGAUCUGCCCUGUACUUCGGGAUAAGCUUGGGAAACUGGGUCUAAUACCGGAUAUGACGAUCUCUUGGAUGGGGUUGUGGAAAGCUUUUGCGGUAUGGGAUGAGCUCGCGGCCUAUCAGCUUGUUGGUGGGGUAAUGGCCUACCAAGGCGUCGACGGGUAGCCGGCCUGAGAGGGUGUACGGCCACAUUGGGACUGAGAUACGGCCCAGACUCCUACGGGAGGAAGCAGUGGGGAAUAUUGCACAAUGGGCGCAAGCCUGAUGCAGCGACGCCGCGUGGGGGAUGACGGCCUUCGGGUUGUAAACUCCUUUCGCAAUCGACGAAGCCUUUUGGUGACGGUAGGUUGAGAAGAAGCACCGGCUAACUACGUG